GAUGAACGCUGGCGGCGUGCCUAAUACAUGCAAGUCGAGCGAACGGACGAGAAGCUUGCUUCUCUGAUGUUAGCGGCGGACGGGUGAGUAACACGUGGAUAACCUACCUAUAAGACUGGGAUAACUUCGGGAAACCGGAGCUAAUACCGGAUAAUAUUUUGAACCGCAUGGUUCAAAAGUGAAAGACGUUCUUGCUGUCACUUAUAGAUGUAUCCGCGCUGCAUUAGCUAGUUGGUAAGGUAACGGCUUACCAAGGCAACGAUGCAUAGCCGACCUGAGAGGGUGAUCGGCCACACUGGAACUGGGACACGGUCCAGACUCCUACGGGAGGCAGCAGUAGGGAAUCUUCCGCAAUGGGCGAAAGCCUGACGGAGCAACGCCGCGUGAGUGAUGAAGGUCUUCGGAUCGUAAAACUCUGUUAUUAGGGAAGAACAUAUGUGUAAGUAACUGUGCACAUCUUGACGGUACCUAAUCAGAAAGCCACGGCUAACUACGUG
rnacentral:rRNA from 1 species